GACGAACGCUGGCGGCGUGCUUAACACAUGCAAGUCGAACGGAAAGGCCCUGCUUGCAGGGUGCUCGAGUGGCGAACGGGUGAGUAACACGUGGGUGAUCUGCCCCUUACUUUGGGAUAAGCCUGGGAAACUGGGUCUAGUACUGGAUAGGACCAUGCUGUAGGUGGUGUGGUGGAAAGAUUAGUUUCGGUAAGGGAUGAGCUCGCGGCCUAUCAGCUUGUUGGUGGGGUAAUGGCCUACCAAGGCGUCGACGGGUAGCCGGCCUGAGAGGGUGGACGGCCACAUUGGGACUGAGAUACGGCCCAGACUCCUACGGGAGGCAGCAGUGGGGAAGAUUGCACAAUGGGCGCAAGCCUGAUGCAGCGACGCCGCGUGGGGGAUGACGGCCUUCGGGUUGUAAACUCCUUUCAGCCAUGACGAAGCCCUUGUGGUGACGGUAGUGGUAGAAGAAGCACCGGCUAACUACGUG
rnacentral:rRNA from 1 species